AUUGAAGAGGUCCUGAUGCCGAAACUGGGUCUCUCAAGUUGGUGUCUUUAUUGGUUUUUGCUUCUGUUGAACAAUCUAUUUUAAGAAAAUUUGGCUUGCAUUUCAUGAAAACUUUAUAGACAGGCAGGCAGCAAACUAUGCAGUUUAGAGUGUGAAAGAUAGAAAUUUAGAAAUGAUAUGGCAACAGGCAUUUGGAUAAUGAUAUUAGGUGCAGGUUUCUACUUAGGAUUAGAAAGGCUUGGGCCUGGGUUGCAGAUGUAGCUCAGUAGUAGAGUACCUGCCUAGCAUGCACAAGGCCCAGGAUUGAUCUUCAGCAGUAGGGGGUGGAAGUCAGAGAAAAGGAAGAAAAGCAGGUUUGGACCUAUGAUUUUUUUUUAAACCUGGUGCACUUAAACUGUAGCCUUCAGGCACCUUGGGGGAUUUUUGAAUAGGUGAAUGCCUCAUAAAGCUGAAGUUUAAAUGUCCUACUUACAGAAAUCUUUUUAAAGAUCCCAUGCAAAACCAAGAUAUAUUUUCUUUGUUCUUUUAAAAAUAUUAUAUAUGCUAUGUAUUAUUGUAGUAUUGAGGUAGUAUUGUGAACAAACACUACACCAAGAAAAAAAGGUUAGGGUUUUAGUCUUGGAAUUAUCAUUUGACUAGCUAAGUGCUUGAGGUCCUGGCUCUCUUGAACUCUAUAUUUCAAUUGCUCAGGAAGAGAAAAUAAUAAUAACUGCUGACCCCAGAGUGAGGAUCAAAUGCAAUGGUAUGAUGAACGUUCUCUGUGGUUUAAAAAAGCUGCAUAGUUACAUAUUUAGAUGUAAUGUGUUGGACUGGAGGGCUGAAUGACUCAAUUAAUCACUGGACAUGGAGUGUCUCACUCUUUACCUGGGAACAGAGCUAUGCUUUACUUCCUUGUUGUAGCUAAAAUUUUCAGUCUAUAGUUGAACUCCUGUUGUUCAAGCUUUUAUUGCGUAUCAUAUCCUCCUCCUUUGCCCACCCAACACCUCUGCAUCUUAUCUUUAUCCACUUGUGUGGCCAGCGAUCAGCAGUUCUUGUUCUCUUUCUUUUCUGUUGCUUUUCCUAUGUUUUUGGUCUCUGUGCAUGAAGGCUUAUUUAGAC
rnacentral:lncRNA from 1 species